rnacentral:rRNA from 1 species
AUUGAACGCUGGCGGCAGGCCUAACACAUGCAAGUCGAACGAGUGGCGGACGGGUGAGUAAUGUCUGUGAAACUGCCUGAUGGAGGGGGAUAACUACUGGAAACGGUAGCUAAUACCGCAUACCAUCAGAUGUGCCCAGAUGGGAUUAGCUAGUUGGUGGGGUAACGGCUCACCAAGGCGACGAUCCCUACCUGGUCUGAGAGGAUGACGAGGCACACUGGAAAUGAGACACGGUCCAGACUCCCAAGAGAGGCAGCAGUGGGGAAUAUUGCGCAUUGGGCGCAAGCCUGGUGCAGCCAUGCCGGGUGUAUGAAGAAGGGCAUCAAGUUGUAAAGUACUUUAAGCGGGGAGGCGUUACGCGGAGAAGAAGCACCGGCUAACUCCGUGCCAGCAGCCGCGGUAAUAC